CAUUACAGAGUUCCUGCCCUCACGGGUAGAAACCCCACCCUUGUGUAUAUUAUAUUGUUGCUUUAGCAGGUCGCCCUCUGGGGCGUCGGCCUCGGCUGACUGUGCCUGCUAGAGGACCCUAAACUUUGAAAUACAGUGUCGUCUGAGUACUAUUUAAUAGUUAAAACUUUCAACAACGGAUCUCUUGGUUCUGGCAUCGAUGAAGAACGCAGCGAAAUGCGAUAAGUAAUGUGAAUUGCAGAAUUCAGUGAAUCAUCGAAUCUUUGAACGCACAUUGCGCCCCUUGGUAUUCCGGGGGGCAUGCCUGUUCGAGCGUCAUUUAGACCAACUCCCGCUCCGGCGGGGUCUUGGGCUGCGCCUUUGGGCGGGCCUUAAAACCAGUGGCGGUGCCCUAAGGCUCUACGCGUAGUAAUUCUUCUCGCGAUAGGGUCCUUGCGGUGUCCUGCCAGCAACCCCCAACUCUCUAGGGUUGACCUCGGAU
rnacentral:rRNA from 1 species